UACGUAGGGGGCGAGCGUUGUCCGGAUUUAUUGGGCGUAAAGAGCUCGUAGGCGGUUUGGUAAGUUGGAUGUGAAAUCUCCAGGCUCAACUUGGAGGGGUCAUUCGAUACUGCCAUGACUAGAGUUCGGUAGGGGAGUGUGGAAUUCCUGGUGGAGCGGUGAAAUGCGCAGAUAUCAGGAGGAACACCCGUAGCGAAGGCGGCACUCUGGGCCGGAACUGACGCUGAGGAGCGAAAGCGUGGGGAGCGAACAGG
rnacentral:rRNA from 2 species